rnacentral:tRNA from 1 species
GCUCCAUAGUCUAGUGGUUAAGAUAUUUGCUUUACAAAUGAAAGGUUGGUGGUUUAAUUCCAGCUGGAGACA